rnacentral:rRNA from 1 species
UACGUAGGGUGCGAGCGUUGUCCGGAAUACUGGGCGUAAAGCGCACGUAGGCGGAUUGUUAAGUCAGGGGUGAAAUCCUGGAGCUCAACUCCAGAACUGCCUUUGAUACUGACGAUCCCGAGUCCGGGAGAGGUGAGUGGAACUGCGAGUGUAGAGGUGAAAUUCGUAGAUAUUCGCAAGAACACCAGUGGCGGAAGGCGGACUCACUGGCCCGGUACU